GAAAAAAAUUGAAUCCCUCCCUCAACCCCGUUGAAACCGCCUCCCCUCAAUCCCAUGAAUCUCUCCCAUAUCCCCAACCCCUUUCCUCUAUAUUAAAUCUUCAGCCAUUAUUUCUUUUCUCACCUAUCGUCUCUGCAAGCAAGAAUCAUCUUCAACUUCUAUCCAAGUAAUCAAACUCCUCCAGCUUCAAGAACCCGCCUUUCAGCCUUGUGAACUUCACAACCCAAAUCCAAUUCACGGAGGUGAUAUCUCGCAAGGGAAUCGUGAUCGCAAAGGAAAGAAAAUAGUUUUGGAAUAAGCACUCAAGGUUGAGCGGCGACGAGGAUGUGGUGGUGUUGAGCAAAUGAAUAUAAUAUAUU